rnacentral:rRNA from 1 species
GGGGAAUAUUGCGCAAUGGGGGAAACCCUGACGCAGCGACGCCGCGUGAAGGAAGAAGGUUUUCGGAUUGUAAACUUCUUUGACCGGGGACGAAGAAAGUGACGGUACCCGGGGAACAAGCCACGGCUAACUACGUGCCAGCAGCCGCGGUAAUACGUAGGUGGCGAGCGUUGUCCGGAAUUACUGGGUGUAAAGGGCGCGUAGGCGGGGAUGCAAGUCAGGUGUGAAAGACCACGGCUCAACCGUGGGGUUGCAUUUGAAACUGUAUUUCUUGAGUAUUGGAGAGGGAAGCGGAAUUCCUAGUGUAGCGGUGAAAUGCGUAGAGAUUAGGAGGAACACCAGUGGCGAAGGCGGCUUUCUGGCCAAAUACUGACGCUGAGGCGCGAAAGCGUGGGGAGCAAAC